rnacentral:rRNA from 1 species
AGAGUUUGAUCCUGGCUCAGGAUGAACGCUAGCGGGAGGCUUAACACAUGCAAGCCGAGGGGUAAAUGGUAGCAAUACUAUGAGACCGGCGGACGGGUGCGUAACGCGUAUGUAACCUACCCCAUACAGAGGGAUAACCCGGAGAAAUUCGGACUAAGACCUCAUAACACCAUGAGAGGGCAUCUGAUUAUGGUUAAAGUUCCGGCGGUAUGGGCUGGGCAUGCGUAACAUUAGCUAGUUGGUAGGGUAACGGCCUACCAAGGCUUCGAUGUUUAGGGGUCCUGAGAGGGUGGUCCCCCACACUGGUACUGAGACACGGACCAGACUCCUACGGGAGGCAGCAGUGAGGAAUAUUGGUCAAUGGGCGCAAGCCUGAACCAGCCAUCCCGCGUGCAGGAAGAAGGCGCUAUGCGUUGUAAACUGCUUUUCCAGGGGAAGAAAACUUCCAUCGUGAUGGGACUUGCCGGUACCCUGGGAAUAAGCAUCGGCUAACUCCGUGCCAGCAGCCGCGGUAAUACGGAGGAUGCAAGCGUUAUCCGGAUUUAUUGGGUUUAAAGGGUGCGUAGGCGGAUUAAUAAGUCAGUGGUGAAAACCUGCAGCUUAACUGUAGAACUGCCAUUGAUACUGUUAG